AAUACUACAAGAUAGAAUACCCGAUUCGAGAUGGGUUAAUCUCCAAGAACAAAGGUAUAGAUACCCAAUUAGAUAAUAAUCAUCGAUAUCCUCCCCAAAAACUAGAACAAAGAUAUAAAUAAGCAAUAAUAGCAGUAAUGACUGGCCCUUCAGCUCCCAUUUCCCCAUCAGUUUCCCUUCUCAAUAACUGUUCUAACCCAUUAAUAAAUCUGACCCUAUUUCCCACCCGUAUAGGAAUCGGGUUUGUAUCAAUACAUCCUGCCCCGAUAAUCGACUUGCCCUCAAGUCGAAAAGAAGGUAAUUGGCGCACCAAGCAAUGAGCCAUUCAAUUGUAGGCUGACCACCUUCAUGGACCCAUCUGUAAGCUAAAACUUGUGUUUUCUGGGGCCCGAAUUUAGGUGCAGCCCAGAAAGAAUCCUGUGCAUUAGAAUUUGGAAUUCGAAAGUCAGUAUUGAUAUCUGUUAGCUUUGCUGGCCAAUCUACUUUGUCAUCCAUCCAACCCUUGAUUGCCUUUUGAAACGACCAGUCAAGUUGUUUCUUAUCCGUCUGAGUCUUCGUGUGAUCCUUGUGUGAGUAAUCACAGAGUGACUUCAGGACAGCAUCCCCGCUGAAUAAUUUUUGCUCUAAUUCUGCAUUCUUCGUCUCUCCAUGAUUCUCGUGUUCCUCCUCUUCUAGACUGGCCUGAUCAUUUGUUUCAUCUGCAGCUUCUAGCAUUUUUUUCUCCAAAUCUGAAAUUAGAAGUGACUGACUUUUGGUUUAUGCGGUAGUUAUAGGUGUCGCUCCAGGCAUGGAAAUGUUGCUAGGAAUUUCCUCCAUUCCCAAAUCUGUCACUGGAUCCUGGUUUUCAUCCUUAGCUUCCUUUAUUGCAUCUGUUCGUCUUUCUAGCCAAGCUUCCUUGAUUUCUGCUAUAUCCUUCUUCAAGGCUAUCAAAGAAUCAAGCUUAGCAAUAAUGACUGCCAACUGGUUAGCGAUUGGGUCUAGAUAAACACCGCCUUCCUUCUGAUUAUUCUGAGUCUGCUCCAUCUUCGAUUUCCCGGCAAUGGAACCAAAUGAUAGAACCCAAAAUUAAACAAAACUGACUGAUAGAUUUAUUGUUGUAAACUGAAAUACUACAAGAUAGAAGACCCGAUUCGAGAUGGGUUAAUCUCCAAGAACAAAGGUAUAGAUACCCAAUUAGAUAAUAAUCAUCGAUAUCCUCCCCGAAAACUAGAACAAAGAUAUAAAUAAGCAAUAAUAGCAGUGAUGACUGGCCCUUCAGCUCCCAUUUCCCCAUCAGUUUCCCUUUUCAAUAACUGUUCUAACCCAUUAAUAAAUCUGACCCUAUUUCCCACCCGUAUAGGAAUCGGGUUUGUAUCAGUUGGAAUAUUUUCUACAUUUUCUGGUGAAGAAUUCAAGAGCUUUACAGCCAUAGCUAACGAACUGCUGUGGGAUUCUUGGGACUUUGAUGUUUUUCACACUGCGGAUGCCAACCUCCUUCCUCAGGGUGAAUCAUCUGUAACAACACCAACACUUCGGUUACUGAAACCGUAUGAUGAACUCUUUGUUGACUCCCAUCAACUAAAAGCAACUACUUAGCUUACUCAAAUUCAUUCAGCCAACCGAAAUAUUGCAGUGCUUGAGAGAAUCCGCUUAUGAGAGCUGCAUUAAUGGUCUAAAGUUACAAAACACAGGGACUUAUUUGUGAAUAUAUAUGGGCUGAAUGCACAUUUCAUGGGAGGUGUAGAGGAUAAUGAACCACCUUCAAAACGCGUGAAAGCAUCUUCUAGAGAACUAAAAGGUGUUUCAAACGGACUAAAACAACCAUCAACUUAUUC